UACGUAGGGGGCUAGCGUUGUCCGGAAUCAUUGGGCGUAAAGAGCGUGUAGGCGGCUUGGUAAGUCCGCUGUGAAAGUCCAGGGCUCAACCCUGGAAUGCCGGUGGAAACUGUCAAGCUUGAGUCCGGAAGAGGCGAGUGGAAUUCCUGGUGUAGCGGUGAAAUGCGCAGAUAUCAGGAGGAACACCGGUGGCGAAGGCGGGUCUCUGGGCCGAUACUGACGCUGAGGAGCGAAAGCGUGGGGAGCGAACAGG
rnacentral:rRNA from 1 species